AAUUUUCAUAUAAUGAUUGAGUUAAGAAGCCUUUCUUCUUUUGACGCGAGGAAACAAAGCUGUUUUUAUGUGUUUUAUUGUUGAAACAAUUACUCGAUUUCAAUUUUUUACGUUUAUUUUAUCUAUUUUCAGUAAUGUGUAAAAUAAGAAUUGUGAAAAUAUAUUAAAUUGUUUAAAAAAUAUAAAAUAAUGACAAAGAUUUCUGAAAAAACUGUGCACGAUAGCUCCAAAUAGCUUGUGAUUAAUUAUUAUUUUUUAUUUAUUUUGGCGUCUUUAUAUAUGUCUACCUUUUCUUUGGUAACAAAGGGGAAAUCUAAACCCCGGACUGGCUAAACAUAUGUGUCGGAUUCACCACUGACGGAGUGUUCGGCGCUAACGAGCUGCAUGGAUCCGUCUAGCGACUCCCAUUGACCAAAACCCCUCGGACCCACCUCAGUCGGGAGAGGGCUGGAUGAUGACAGACAUCGACUUCACGCUCGCUCUCGUGCUUGGAGCGUAACUCCUUGAUGUAGCCAACUUUUCAAGUUAGGGGACGAGCUUAAAGGGAUCCAGCCGAAAUAUGUCAGCUAUCAAGGGCCUUCAUUUAUCCCCACAGGGCAACGGUUAUAUCUGAUCCCUUUCACUGGGACAAGUCCUAGUGCUCACACCCGGGAGGUACUUCUAUCCGGGCCCAGUUAGAGUGGUAGGACUGCCCACCAAUUAGCUUAAUAAAAAACUGAAAAAUAGGCAGAGCCAGGCACUCAAGUACCGUAUCGUUCCUGAACUACAGUUCACAAGGUCCAUCCAAACCCGUGAACUAUUGACCCAUAUAAUCAGGCGAGCUGUUGGGCGACAAUACCUCGAAGACAUAUCUAACAAAUGUAUUCGAAUUCACGCUUCUCGUCCUCAGCUAAUACUGAGAUUGAGAGAGCUAUGAGUUCACCCGAUUGAUCAUAACGCAGAUCUCGCAUACGCCAGCAAUCAUUGAGCUAUUGCUCUCCUGACCAGCGUUGCUGGUCCAUCACACCUUAACUGGAGAAUUCCUCUCUAGUGAGGAACUUUUUAGGUCGGCUAUAUAUACCUCAUCCAUCCAUUUUUGCUGCAAUUGCUCUGCUAAUGACUAACGCCUCCCCAAUUGAAGCAACAGCAACUCCGAUUUACAAAAUCCGGGCAUCGCUGCUGCACAUUAGGGCCAGGCACUUGGGCACUUUUUCAGGAGCUCCACACGAGCUAGUGUUCAGUCUAUUUGCAUCUUUUCAUCCAGGGUGAGUUUAACUCCCAUAGCUGCAGUGCGCUGCACGAUAACAGCACCCACGCCACGGUAGAAAAAAACCUUCUUUGCUUACUUUAAUUUUGGUGCUGCGAAGCAUCUUGAUGAAGCGGCGACAAUAAUUGUCAUCUCAGGGAUUGACUCGUUGAACUCGGCUAUGCGUAGUGUAUACACCAGCGGCAAUUUCUUUGCCUGGACGACUUCCAGAAGGAUGCUCUUAUUCAUGGCUCUGUGGAGAUACAGGUCAGGCAUUCCACAUCCAACUGUGGGAACGCGCCUCGUUUGUUCUCCUCAUUACUUCCGUAUAGAACAGCGCAUCCCUAAAGAUGAUGAUUGAGACCAUCGACGUCCGAGGAAUGUGCUUCCUCAACUCUUUCGCAGAGAGAUCAGGCUUUUUUUGCCCGAUAUUUCCUACGUUAACCUCUUUAGAAGAGGAAGAAGAGGCGCUAACAAUAGCUGACUUUUUCCCCUUCUUUUUCUUCUUUAGGUUAUCAUCAGUUUUCUAGUCGAAACUUGUUGGCCCCGAAGGAACAAUAAAUUUAAAGCCAGAAACGUCCUCUUAUUUACAAUGUUAGCGAAGGUUAGCACUCACGAACACAGGAUCGACCCAAACUGACCCACACUGAGAUACCACUACGGUUGAAGAGGCCCUGAGUAGGCAUCGCUCCUCUUCUUUCGCCUCUACCUUUUCAGCCUUGGACCAGCUGAAACAUAUACUGCUCUAACCGGCCGAGCCUCAUGUUAAAGAACUUUAUGGCCGCCAUAAAGUGUGAUGUCCUUUCUGAUAUUAGAGGAGUGAGCCUGAUUCCGUUUGAUCCUUGUUAGCCACGCAUCUGCCAUCGUAACCAAGUCGGCGGACGUGGCGCGCUCAAUUGCCUCCAACUAGUGGUCACGCCGUUAAUCGGGAGUGAAUAUUGUCGACGAGAUUCCAAUGCGCGGACGCGGCGCAUGUCCUCUUUCUUGUCCGAUGUCUACAAUUCUAUAAGUUAGGGCGAAGUCGUUUCACCCUAAACCACGCCAUUAGGAUCUCAACGAUCCUGUUCUCAGUGUUGAAACUUCCGACAAAGGGGACGGGGAUCUGAAGAGGUUUUGACCCAUUUAAUCGAGGUUGACCUCGGGCCCACUUCCUAUGAAUUUCAGCUGGGGCGAGGCAGAAAUCGCCCGGAAGUUUGAUUUUCAUCUCUUUCCGGUUUUCAGUGUUGUUCGGCUGCAUGAAAUGCUAGACAUCGACGGAUGACUCGGCCCGGGGAACCUCAUUAUUGUUGACAUCGUCACCACCGAUUCCACCCCCUAUCCUUAAUAGACCACUAGUAUUGGACAAUUACUCUCAAGGAGGAACUCAUGUGAACAUCAGCUCGUGUAAAAUCCGGGUGCAUGCGGUUAAGCACAUACCUGAGGAUAAUCUAUGAGCGGCACGCGGAUCACAAAGGGCUACGGUAAGAGUGACCGGACAUCCAAAUCCAAGAAGCCACACAAAUAUGUUAUUCUAACGCACCGCCUCGGAGAUCCCAAUUACAUUUAUGAACGAUGCAGCAAGACAUCGAUAUGCGCUGUUUCUAGGCUCGUAAACAGUCAAGUAUCAAUGAACACAGACAAGCUGUGAUCAUUGACAACAUGUGGGAUUUAACGGUGGCGACGAUCUGCGUGUCAAUCCGGCAGAGAGCACCCGAUCAUCCCCGCACACGCAUAAACAAUGAACGUGGAUACAUCAAGAAGGCUUCUAGGAGCGCGAUACGCAGGCUUAGAGCCAUACCAUCAAUUUCUUAUAGAGGUUGUCUUCUCACGGCCCAGACAAUGAAGCCAAGGUCCCCGAUUCCCUUCCGAAGAAGAGAAUUACGGUGUAGUGGCUCAAGCAUUUCGGAUUUGCUAAUACUCUUAUCUGGAGGCUCCAGAAGCUUUAAAUCCUUGAGUAUAUGUCUAUCUAAGACAUGAAUUUUUUAAAUUUAUGAAAUUUUAAAAACAAAUAUUUUUUAUUGCGAUAAAAAGAUUAAUAAAUUUAAAUAAAAAUA